rnacentral:rRNA from 1 species
UGGGGAAUCUUGCACAAUGGGGGCAACCCUGAUGCAGCGACGCCGCGUGAGCGAUGAAGCCCUUCGGGGCGUAAAGCUCUUUCGACCGGAACGAUAAUGACGGUACCGGGAGAAGAAGCACCGGCUAACUACGUGCCAGCAGCCGCGGUAAUACGUAGGGUGCGAGCGUUAAUCGGAAUUACUGGGCGUAAAGCGUGCGCAGGCGGUUUUGUAAGACAGAUGUGAAAUCCCCGGGCUUAACCUGGGAACUGCGUUUGUGACUGCAAGGCUGGAGUACGGCAGAGGGGGGUGGAAUUCCACGUGUAGCAGUGAAAUGCGUAGAGAUGUGGAGGAACACCGAUGGCGAAGGCAGCCCCCUGGGCCUGUACUGACGCUCAUGCACGAAAGCGUGGGGAGCAAACA